AGAUUCCUUUAAGCUCAGUUCCAAAAUGGCUAUGAAUUAGACACUGCUGGUACUUGAAAAUAACGUAAGGAAGCUGCUAGAACACUGAAAACCUGCUGGUUUUCACAUUUGUGUCCCGAAAAGAGUCCAAGUUUUUAAUGUUCUCCAGAGUGAAAGAGCCCCAAGUCCUGCCUCUGGUUAUUGCCAGAGGAAGGAAAACAUCACUUUGCACUUUUUAUUAACCUCUGCAAGGAUGCACCAUCCACAACCAUGCCGUACGCAUUUUAAGAACAUUCUGAUGCAUUUGAAUUUAGAGAUUUUUGACAAUAUUCAGAGUUUCCCAAAGGAUAAUGGGCUCCUAUUUGAUUUACAUCUCAUGAUGAAAGUGGUUCACAAAGAAGGUUCUUCUCAAAGCCGCGAGUCUAGCUCAAACUCCUAGUUUCAGUUUUUACUUUCAGACUUACAUGAAAGGUAUGUUUCAAAAUGAAAGAUUAUUUUUUGAUCUCACUGUAUCACUAUACACUGG
rnacentral:lncRNA from 1 species